rnacentral:rRNA from 1 species
GAUAAACGCUGGCGGCGCACAUAAGACGUGCAAGUCGAACGAACAGAAGCUGUUUGUUUACAAAUGGUGGAAGUUAGUGGCGGACUGGUGAGUAACACGUAAGUAAUCUGCCUAUCAGAAGGGAAUAACAGUGAGAAAUCAAUGCUAAUACCGUAUAUGCUGUAACUGUCGCAUGACAGAAGCAGGAAAGGAGCAAUCCGCUGAUAGAUGAGCUUGCGGCUGAUUAGCUAGUUGGCGGGGUAACGGCCCACCAAGGCGACGAUCAGUAGCCGGACUGAGAGGUUGAACGGCCACAUUGGGACUGAGACACGGCCCAG